rnacentral:rRNA from 1 species
CAUGUCUUUAAGAUUAUAAUUUAAAGUCGAAUCUGCUCCAUGAUUAGAUUAAAUAGCUGCAGUAUUUUAACUGUACAAAGGUAGCAUAGUCAAUAGUUUUUUAAUUAAAAGCUGGAAUGAAGGAUUUGAUAAGGUAAAUAUUGUCUCGAAUUUAAAAAUGUUAGAAUUUUUUUUUUAGUAAAAAUACUAAAUUGGUUUUAAAAGACGAGAAGACCCUAUAGAUUUUUAUAUUUAAUACUUAAUUAAUUUUAAUUAAUUAAUAUUGUUAAGUGGGAAAAUAUUUGGUUGGGGAAAUUAUUAAAUUAAUUAAAUUUUAAUUUAUUAUAAACAAUAAUUAUUGAGUAUUUGAUCCUGGGUUUUAGAUUAGGAGAAUAAAUUACCUUAGGGAUAACAGCGUAAUUUUUUUGGAGAGAUCACAUUAAUAAAAAAGUUUGCGACCUCGAUGUUGAAUUAAGAUUAAAUUUUAAUGGAGAAAUUAAAAAUUUUUGGUCUGUUCGACCAUUAAAAUCUUACGUGAUC